GAUAAAGGCUGGGAACAUAGCUGUGCACUCUUGUAACGCCUGUUGAUGUGGAGCCUUCAUCUUGCAAGUUUAUACUUGAGGCUUGGACCUCAUGAAGCAAGUUGGCCUUACAAAGCACCAGGAUAUUAGGUGAUGCAAAUCUAAACCACUUCCUCAACUUAUACACUGGGGUGCUUUUCUUUUUGGGCAUUUCUUUGUUGUUGUACAGGUUGGACCUUGGUUUGUACCACCACAGAGGAGGAGCUUCAUCCCUGACAGGUUGGGCCCUGUUGUAGGAAAAGUCCAGAAAGUUGAGUGAAACUCAAUUGGCAUUCCCAGGUUUUGUGGUAUGGGCACGGAUACAUGAUUGAUACAUCUGGGUAUGAACUCAUUUCAACCUUGGGUACUUUGUGGGAAUCUUUACUCUUGGCAGAUUAAGCCCUGGUACUAUUCCAGCCUUGGCAGGUUAGACCCUGGUUUGGGAAUUGUACUGCAAAAGAUGAGAAACUUCACCAUUGGCAGGUGAUUAAACUGCUAUGUAUUCCACAGUAAAUGCCAUUCCUAAUCUUCUUGGGCAGGCUUGUUUCUCCACCUAAGCUUGCAGGUAGGGAUAUUGUGUAUGAAAAUUCUAGCACUGGAGGAAGAUAACCUUGAAUUGCUGGAACUUGUGAUUGGUUGGGCACUCAUGUAGGAAAAUUUCAGAAAAUGUUGAUUUUUAUCAUAGCCAAGUCAAUGGGGAUGUUGGUGCUUUUGACGGGUUGGACAUGGUAUGUACGGAAAAGUCCAGAAGUGGUUGAGCUUCUGCCUUGGCUGGUUAGGCCAUGGUACCAUGUCCAGCCUUGGUGGGUAAGUGAGGAUACUGAAGCCUUCAGAGAUUGCUGCUUAAACCUAGGCCUUAGUGUUUUUUUUUGUUUACCUUUCUGGGCCCCGGUUUUUGGAAAAGUCUUGCAGGUAAGUUGGAUGCAUUUUUUAUUUUUUCUGGUAAGGAAGGAUGCAACAGUUUAGGUGUGCGUAGUAUUAUGACUUUAGCUUGUGUCUGUUUUACAGGUUGGACCUGGCUUAAGAAAAGUCCUACUGCAGAUAACAUGAUCACUUUUGGCAGGAGAGUAAAAUUAGUGUGUGACUAAGGUUGUUUUUUUAAAAAAAUUUUUAUAGUUCUCUAAGAGUUUAGACCUUUUUGUUAAGGAAAUUUCACUAGGUGGCACUUUUCAGAUCAAUAAGAUUGUGUAUAAGUGUGAUCUGUAAUACCUAUAUUUUUUUGUUUUACAGGUUGGUAUGCUUCAGCCUUGGCUGGUGCUAGGCUAGUCCACCACAGAAGGGCUUUUUCUGUGUCAGGUGGAAACCUGGUUUUGAGAGUCUUAGCAGCAGUUUCCUUUAUGAUGAUGCUCCUCCAUCAAGUUGGCAUCCAAGACAACAGCCUUCCUUGCCUGCAUUGAACACGUCUCAAAUGGAUGAGAAAACUCAUGUCUCUCACAGUGCUAUGAUGUAUCUAGAUGAACUUGAUAUAUCUGAAUAAAUACUGUAAACUAUUUCCAUUAAAUGCAGUUCAACUUUUA